rnacentral:rRNA from 1 species
CCAGCUCCAAUAGCGUAUAUUAAAGUUGUUGCAGUUAAAAAGCUCGUAGUUGGACCUUAGGCAAGGCGGCCUGGUCGCCCACUGGGUGUACUGGGAUCGCUGCGCCUCACCUUCGGGGAGCUAGUCGUGCUUCGGUGCGCUAGGGAACCGAGCCUUACCUUGAGGAAAUUAGAGUGUUUAAAGCAGGCUUUUGCUUGAAUACGUUAGCAUGGAAUAACAUGAUAGGACUUUGGUUCUAUUUUGUUGGUUUGAGGACCAAAGUAAUGAUUAAUAGGGACAGUUGGGGGCAUUAGUAUUCAAUAGUCAGAGGUGAAAUUCUUGGAUUUAUUGAAGACUAACUAAUGCGAAAGCAUUUGCCAAGGAUGUUUUCA